CAACUUAGAAUUAAUCCUACCAAUCAAUCAAACCAUAUUAUCAAUUUUGUAUCCCCAAACAGAAGUCUAAAGGUUUUAGCUCAUAAUUGAAGUAAAUAACAGUAAACAAACAGAGUCUAAUUGUUUAACCAUAAUGAUAAAACAAAAGAUUAAGUGAAAUGAUGAAAUUUGCCUCAAUUCUCCUUCGGGAUUGAGUUCUAGCUUAUGACUUCGUCUUCUAGGGUUUUUCUGACUUCUUGAUCGCAGCUAAACUUUUCUGAAUCGUUCCAGAAUUCUCUUCCAUCGUUCUGUGGAGUUAUCUUUAUAUAUACGAAUCGACUCGUCGAGUCAGGUGGCGACUCGUCGAGUCCAUCUCUCAGUCCCCGUAUUGUGAUAAGUCUCUGGGAUCCCGAGUCUUUAUCUUCUCGAAUCUUCGCUUGGACUCACCGAGUAGUCGACCCUACUCGCCGAGUAGGUGUUAUUUUUAAUGUUUUUCUUCUUUGUUCCAUUCUCGAGCUCUUAACCGCUUCUCCUGCUUCCUUUUGCUUCCGAGCUUCAUUUUUGGACUGAAAAUAUAAUUCAAACACUUUUAAGUACCUUUUGUCCAUAAAAUGCAAUAAUUUAGCUAAUAAAUGAAUAAAAAUCUAUACUUAAUAUGAACUAAUUAUACACAUAUCAAGCAUUCAAUCAUGUUAAUCUUUAGGUUUAAUUCAGUGGUGUUGAAAAAUAGUGUCAAAUGUUAUGUAGCUGAACUAAAAUCAUUUGAACUUAGAGGUGGUAGAAUUCUGCAAAUAAUAAGUCUUAACCACCAAAUUUUUUUUAUUUAUAAGGAUGACCAAAACUGUCAAUAUCACAAAGAUUUCUGACCAAACUCUUAACCAUUAAAAGUUUUCCACUUUUUAUAUAAUUUUAAUAUAUAAAGGAUCAUGCCAAUAUUAUAAAUUAAUGUAGCUAAAAUUUAAAACAUCAAAAUAUAACUUUCCAUUUUUUCAUUCCAAAAUUUAGAUGUAUAUAUAAUUAACAAUUAUACAUUUCGUUAAAAAGAGUAUAUAAAUUUCCAAAAAAUACUUAUUUACAAAUUUAUUAUUAAUUUUUAUUAUAUUUAUUAAUUCAAAACCAUAUACUACACAAAUUAUAGCCUAGUUUUAAAUAAACAAGACAAAAAUGCAAAAAUAAUCCCUUAGUUUUGCGUUUUUUUCAAGGUUUUGGUCCUCACAAAAUUGGAUAAAUGGUCAUUUUGAACAUGUUUCUUUGUGAAUUUGGUUAUCACUAAGUUUGGAAUGUCUAUUUUUACCAUUUUAAAUAUAAUUUUGACAUUUAUUUUAUCAUUUUGAGUAAUUUUUUGGCGGAAUUGAGAGUUGUCGAAGGUAAAAGUCGUUGGAGAAGGAAAGGCAAGCUUAUGUUUGAUAGGUGGAAGAUGGUCUCCGAUGCGAAGUGAGAGAUAACUAAAUUGUUAAUUGUGUCAUAAGAAAUGGACUACAAUAUUAGUUGUUUUACCAUUUUUUAAUAAUAGAAAUUAUAAAACAAUUAAGACAAAAUUGCAAGAAUAGUCUCCGUGGUUAGGUCGAAAUUGUCACUUUGGGCCAAAUAGGUUUGGACUAGCACUCAUGGUUAAAAAGUUUUCAUUAUCUUGCCACUUUGGUCCAAUUUAUUUUAAACUUUUUUGUAAUGACGAUUUUGCCCUUGGUUUUGCUCUUUUAGUUUUAUUUAUUUAUAUAGUUUAAUAUUUAAAAGAAAAACAAAAAAUACCACUAUCUCUCUCUCUCUCUCUCUCUCUCUCCUACAUGUAUUGCUCACCUCUUUUUGCUAGAAUCCUCCAAAACCACCGGUCAUCGCCGCCACACCCAUGACCACCGAUCAACUCCACCACCACCAUUGAUCAACGCGACAACAACACUUGUGAAUACCUCCACUAACACCCUAGCAUCAUAUGAAAGGCGAAUCGACCUACAGAUCUAGACUGAGAAGGCUACAACCACCACUACCAGUCAAAAUGUAUCAAAAGUGUUUUCUGAUUUGAAAACAAAAAAAG
rnacentral:lncRNA from 1 species